CCUACGGGAGGCAGCAGUGGGGAAUAUUGCACAAUGGGGGAAACCCUGAUGCAGCGACGCCGCGUGAGUGAUGAAGUAUUUCGGUAUGUAAAGCUCUAUCAGCAGGAACGAGACAAGACGGUACCUGACUAAGAAGCCCCGGCUAACUACGUGCCAGCAGCCGCGGUAAUACGUAGGGGGCAAGCGUUAUCCGGAAUCACUGGGUGUAAAGGGAGCGUAGACGGCUGUGCAAGCCUGAAGUGAAAGGCGGGGGCCCAACCCCUGGACUGCUUUGGGAACUGUACGGCUGGAGUGCAGGAGAGGUAAGUGGAAUUCGUAGUGUAGCGGUGAAAUGCGUAGAUAUUAGGAGGAACACCAGUGGCGAAGGCGGCUUACUGGACUGUAACUGACGUUGAGGCUCGAAAGCGUGGGGAGCGAACAGGAUUAGAUACCCUAGUAGUC
rnacentral:rRNA from 1 species